UUGCACCAUCUGUCAUACGUAGUUAUCAUGUUACAACGUAACGUAAGUCACACAUCAUAGAAUCCAACGGAUGUUGAACUUGUUUGACCUUUACUUUGGAGACCAAACAUUCAACACAAUCAAAAUUGUUCCAUUUGUAAAU